ACUUAAAUAGUUUAAAAUAUAAAAAAAAAUAAAAUUUUAAUUUGUGGUAUUAAAGAUAUGAAUAUUUCAUUUUAAGUU
rnacentral:tRNA from 1 species